GAGCUCCUGCAAGAGAUGCUUUGAGAUGGUGAGCUGCUUGGACUGUGCUGGCUGCUCAGCUGUAUGGAGACAACCACCAAGGCAAAGUAUUACAGAAUCCUACAGAUGGAGUAUAAGAAAGCUCUGGUUCAGUAAGACUUUCAGGCCAUCUGUUCAAGUACAGCACCAGAGGGAGGGGAGCUUGAGUGCUCUAAUCUCCAAGG